rnacentral:rRNA from 1 species
UUAAGCGACUAAGCGUACACGGUGGAUGCCCUGGCAGUCAGAGGCGAUGAAGGACGUGCUAAUCUGCGAAAAGCGCCGGCGAGGUGAUAUGAACCUUUGACCCGGCGAUGUCCGAAUGGGGAAACCCAGUGCAAUCCGUUGCACUAUCGUUAACUGAAUACAUAGGUUAACGAGGCGAACCGGGGGAACUGAAACAUCUAAGUACCCCGAGGAAAAGAAAUCAACCGAGAUUCCCCCAGUAGCGGCGAGCGAACGGGGAGCAGCCCGGAGUCUGAAUCAGCUUGUGUGUUAGUGGAACGGUCUGGAAAGUCCGACGGUACAGGGUGAUAGUCCCGUACACGAAAGCACACAUGCUGUGAACUCGAAGAGUAGGGCGGGACACGUGGUAUCCUGUCUGAAUAUGGGGGGACCAUCCUCCAAGGCUAAAUACUCCUGACUGACCGAUAGUGAACCAGUACCGUGAGGGAAAGGCGAAAAGAACCCCGGCGAGGGGAGUGAAAAAGAACCUGAAACCGUGUACGUACAAGCAGUGGGAGCCUCUUUAUGGGGUGACUGCGUACCUUUUGUAUAAUGGGUCAGCGACUUAUAUUCUGUAGCAAGGUUAACCGUAUAGGGGAGCCGAAGGGAAACCGAGUCUUAACUGGGCGUUAAGUUGCAGGGUAUAGACCCGAAACCCGGUGAUCUAGCCAUGGGCAGGUUGAAGGUUGGGUAACACUAACUGGAGGACCGAACCGACUAAUGUUGAAAAAUUAGCGGAUGACCUGUGGCUGGGGGUGAAAGGCCAAUCAAACCGGGAGAUAGCUGGUUCUCCCCGAAAGCUAUUUAGGUAGCGCCUCGUGAACUCAUCUUCGGGGGUAGAGCACUGUUUCGGCUAGGGGGCCAUCCCGGCUUACCAACCCGAUGCAAACUACGAAUACCGAAGAAUGUUAUCACGGGAGACACACGGCGGGUGCUAACGUCCGUCGUGAAGAGGGAAACAACCCAGACCGCCAGCUAAGGUCCCAAAGUCAUGGUUAAGUGGGAAACGAUGUGGGAAGGCACAGACAGCCAGGAUGUUGGCUUAGAAGCAGCCAUCAUUUAAAGAAAGCGUAAUAGCUCACUGGUCGAGUCGGCCUGCGCGGAAGAUGUAACGGGGCUAAACCAUGCACCGAAGCUGCGGCAGCGACGCUUAGGCGUUGUUGGGUAGGGGAGCGUUCUGUAAGCCGUUGAAGGUGUGCUGUGAGGCAUGCUGGAGGUAUCAGAAGUGCGAAUGCUGACAUAAGUAACGAUAAAGCGGGUGAAAAGCCCGCUCGCCGGAAGACCAAGGGUUCCUGUCCAACGUUAAUCGGGGCAGGGUGAGUCGACCCCUAAGGCGAGGCCGAAAGGCGUAGUCGAUGGGAAACAGGUUAAUAUUCCUGUACUUGGUGUUACUGCGAAGGGGGGACGGAGAAGGCUAUGUCAGCCGGGCGACGGUUGUCCCGGUUUAAGCAUGUAGGCGGAGGUUCCAGGUAAAUCCGGUACCUUAUUAACGCUGAGGUGUGAUGACGAGGCACUACGGUGCUGAAGUGAUAAAUGCCCUGCUUCCAGGAAAAGCCUCUAAGCAUCAGGUAACACGAAAUCGUACCCCAAACCGACACAGGUGGUCAGGUAGAGAAUACCAAGGCGCUUGAGAGAACUCGGGUGAAGGAACUAGGCAAAAUGGUGCCGUAACUUCGGGAGAAGGCACGCUGAUAUGUAGGUGAAGUCCCUGCGGACGGAGCUGAAAUCAGUCGAAGAUACCAGCUGGCUGCAACUGUUUAUUAAAAACACAGCACUGUGCAAACACGAAAGUGGACGUAUACGGUGUGACGCCUGCCCGGUGCCGGAAGGUUAAUUGAUGGGGUUAGCGGCAACGCGAAGCUCUUGAUCGAAGCCCCGGUAAACGGCGGCCGUAACUAUAACGGUCCUAAGGUAGCGAAAUUCCUUGUCGGGUAAGUUCCGACCUGCACGAAUGGCGUAAUGAUGGCCAGGCUGUCUCCACCCGAGACUCAGUGAAAUUGAACUCGCUGUGAAGAUGCAGUGUACCCGCGGCAAGACGGAAAGACCCCGUGAACCUUUACUAUAGCUUGACACUGAACACUGGUCCUUGAUGUGUAGGAUAGGUGGGAGGCUUUGAAGCGUGGACGCCAGUCUGCGUGGAGCCAACCUUGAAAUACCACCCUUUAAUGGCUGGUGUUCUAACGUAGACCCGUAAUCCGGGUUGCGGACAGUGUCUGGUGGGUAGUUUGACUGGGGCGGUCUCCUCCCAAAGAGUAACGGAGGAGCACGAAGGUUGGCUAAUCCUGGUCGGACAUCAGGAGGUUAGUGCAAUGGCAUAAGCCAGCUUGACUGCGAGCGUGACGGCGCGAGCAGGUGCGAAAGCAGGUCAUAGUGAUCCGGUGGUUCUGAAUGGAAGGGCCAUCGCUCAACGGAUAAAAGGUACUCCGGGGAUAACAGGCUGAUACCGCCCAAGAGUUCAUAUCGACGGCGGUGUUUGGCACCUCGAUGUCGGCUCAUCACAUCCUGGGGCUGAAGUAGGUCCCAAGGGUAUGGCUGUUCGCCAUUUAAAGUGGUACGCGAGCUGGGUUUAGAACGUCGUGAGACAGUUCGGUCCCUAUCUGCCGUGGGCGCUGGAGAAUUGAGGGGGGCUGCUCCUAGUACGAGAGGACCGGAGUGGACGCAUCACUGGUGUUCGGGUUGUCAUGCCAAUGGCACUGCCCGGUAGCUAAAUGCGGAAGAGAUAAGUGCUGAAAGCAUCUAAGCACGAAACUUGCCCCGAGAUGAGUUCUCCCUGAGACCUUGAGUCUCCUGAAGGAACGUUGAAGACGACGACGUUGAUAGGUCGGGUGUGUAAGCGCAGCGAUGCGUUGAGCUAACCGAUACUAAUGAACCGUGAGGCUUAACCU